AAUUAUUAGCCUUUUAAACUCUGAACCCUUUAUAAACGGGUAAUGGGUAUUUGUGCAAAUGUAUGUAACAGGCGAAAGGAAGCAUAUUUGACCCCACAAAGUAUUAAUUCUUAAUUCUAUUAAUCAGCAUCAAUAGCCAUGUCAGUCUGGCUGUCCAUAGUUCCGUGUGUAUGACCGCAAGCAUUUCAGAACCUCUAAGGGCAAGAGUAGUUUGGAACGUUGGGCCUACUUAUGCCCGAGCAUUACUUAUUUAUUUCCGAUAAUCGAUAAUUUGCCCGCUUCCAAGCAUUCGAUCAAAAUCGAUACCGAAAUAGUUUUUAAUAACAAGAGUCCCUAAACUUGACAAGAUCGGUUAUGAAACACCAAUUUUUUGAGAAAACUUUGAUAUAGGCUAUUGACUAGCUACAUGCUUGAGCCAGCUAGCAAAUUGCAAGAAAAUAUUUUCGGGAUCGAGGAAAGAGACAAUCCCAAAGCAAAUACGGUUGAGCUCCCACCAUUGGAAUGAUUUAAUCACAUUUUAUAGAUGCCAUUCUUGGAUAAAGGAAUAAGUUUACUCUAAACUUUAUGAAAAUAUUUUUAGUACUUAUAAAGGGAAAUAUUAUUUUUAAACUGAAUUGUUUUAUUUAUAUUUUGAAAAUGUUUGAGCCAAAACCUGUGUUUAUGAAUGUGGAAAACCAGGUUUAUGAACCAAACGGCAUGCUCGUAAGCCGACCCAACGACAAUUUUUGAGGAAAGCCGCUCUAGUAUACAUAUGAUACAUAUGUACACAAAUACAUAUGUAAAUCUGCUUUGAAAUGUGACUCUAAGGUGAAUGUCAAGGUUAAUUGAUUUCGGAUUAUUUUUAGAUAGGUGUUUUCAUGUGUAUAUAAUGUCAAUGUCACUUUCUUGAGUUUUUUCCACUGUAGCUUCUAAUAUUAAAUAAUUCAAAAUUGGUAUACGCUAAACGUAAUUCUUAAUCAUUAUUUUUAAAGGAAACCAUGAUUGUAUAGGGACAAAUUUAUUUAUUUAUAAUUGCUGGACAAAACCUAUGUAAGAAAAGAAGGAGACAAAAGUAAUAAAGAAAAAAAAAAUAGAAA